AUACUUACCUGGCAAUGGAGAUACUAUUAUUAUGAAGGUGGCUUCUCCAGAGCAAGGCUAAUCUGUUGCACUCUGAUGUGCUGAUCCCUGCAAUUUCCCUAAAUGUGGGAAUCCUAACUGCAUAAUUUAUGGUGGGGAUUGCAUUUUUACUCCCCUUU